ensembl:snRNA U6 U6 spliceosomal RNA
GUGCUCGCUUCGGCAGCGCAUAUAAUAAAGUUGGAACGAUACAGAGAAGAUUAGCAUGGCCCCUGCACAAGGAUGACAUGCAAAUUCGUGAAGCGUUCCAUAUUUUU